rnacentral:lncRNA from 1 species
AUCCUAGUUGAAUUAGGAUUCCUAGUCAAAAUGGGUUUCCUAGUUGAAUUAGGAUUCCUUGAAGAUGAAGUUUCCUACUCAAACAAGGUUUCCUACUCGAAGUAGGAAAGUUGAAUCCAAAUGGCAUCAAGUUUCAGCAACAAAGAAGAUUUCCAAGUCCAAGAAGGAAAGGUUUCCAAGAUGAAGUAGGAGAAGAAUUCCAAGUCAAGGGAGGAUUGAGACAUGUUUUCCUAAUGCUAGAAGGACUCCUAGGUGUUGUAGGACACAAAUAAGAAGUUCUAGAAGAAUUCCCAUCCUUGCCGUGAGUUUCUACAUUUCCUAUCAGUUUUGGGGCUUUCUAGAAGCCCUAUCCCUAAUCCCUACAUUGGUGCCGCACCCUAGCUUCUAGAUGCCCUAGUUCCUUGCCUUGCAAGGCAUUCUAGAAGGCCUAUCCAUGUCCCAUAAAUCCUGCCGCACCCCUUCUCCUUAUCCCUGAGGAUUUCUGAUUGUUUAGACCUAUUUCCUUGUGGAUUUGGGUUAUCCAAGUCCAUAUCUGAUUACCCUAGGGUUUAAGUGCCUAUAUAUAUUCCUAUUAACCCCUAAAUCAGAUCACCACUCACCACAAUUCACAAUUCAUUCCAGAAAUUCGUCCAACCCUCUCCUCACUCUUGCCGCACCCACCAAACACCAUUCCCCCUAGUUCUAAGUCUUGCCGCACCAUCCCCAUCCCCUAAACACUACUACAUCCAUCCAUAACCAUGUAUCCAUACACCUAAGGUCCUAAACCUGUCCCUAGACCCUUUGCCGCACCAAGGAGGAGGAGAAGGAAGCUCGGAAGUUCAUGCCAUUCAAGUUCGCGUCGCUGGAAUUUCUAGGUGUUUCUUUUCCUUUGAUUUCAAUGUUUAAAUUCAAUUCUCUUUGUUUUGUGCAUAUGAGGAACUAAACCCUCCCUUGGCUAGGGGGGAUUCGAAAUACAUGUUUAUGCUUGCGAUAUGAUUUGAUUACUUCUAAUUGCUUUUCAUAAGUUGUGAAUUCAAUUUACUUAUCUAUGUGAAUUACAUUGAUUUGUGUGUGUUGG